rnacentral:misc_RNA from 1 species
UUGAGCAGUGCGGCAGGGCCUUG